AGUGAACGCUGGCGGUAGGCCUAACACAUGCAAGUCGAACGGCAGCACAGGAGAGCUUGCUCUCUGGGUGGCGAGUGGCGGACGGGUGAGGAAUACAUCGGAAUCUACUCUGUCGUGGGGGAUAACGUAGGGAAACUUACGCUAAUACCGCAUACGACCUAUGGGUGAAAGCAGGGGACCUUCGGGCCUUGCGCGAUUGAAUGAGCCGAUGUCGGAUUAGCUAGUUGGCGGGGUAAAGGCCAACCAAGGCGACGAUCCGUAGCUGGUCUGAGAGGAUGAUCAGCCACACUGGAACUGAGACACGGUCCAGACUCCUACGGGAGGCAGCAGUGGGGAAUAUUGGACAAUGGGCGCAAGCCUGAUCCAGCCAUACCGCGUGGGUGAAGAAGGCCUUCGGGUUGUAAAGCCCUUUUGUUGGGAAAGAAAUCCAGCUGGCUAAUACCCGGUUGGGAUGACGGUACCCAAAGAAUAAGCACCGGCUAACUUCGUGCAAGCCGCCGCGGUAA
rnacentral:rRNA from 1 species